AAGGGCUUAGCUUAAGUAAAGCGAUUGAUUUGCAUUUAGUAGAUGUAGGAUAAGGUCUUGCAGUCCUUA
rnacentral:tRNA from 1 species